rnacentral:lncRNA from 1 species
AUUGACCACGGGUCGAUCAUGAUGUUUUUGUUUGGAUUAAUUGAUUUUGGAUCCUUAACUUGGUAAGGAGGUCUAUCACAUCGGUUGUGCUGUUGGGUACCUAUACAGGACCAAGAAAUCUAAAUAAUACUUUCUAGCUAGCCUUUUCUGGGCAAGAUCUUGGGUCAUCACAUAUUGGGCUCUAAGGUUUGACCAGAUACAAUGAAACUUUUGUUGCCACAAGCACUUUGAAUGAUAAAUAUAUUAUAUGUAUUAAUUUUAUGUAUGAAACAAACUUUUAAAAAUCUCUUUUAACAAACCACCAGUGAAUUUAUUUUGUCUAAUUUGUCCUCACUAUCUGGUCUUUCUAUUCUUCCUUGGUUUAAUGGAUCUCUUAGCAACUAAUAUGUUAACCUACGUCGUCUACACCCAAAAAACCAAUGAAAAACUCAUUUGUUUCAUCAUUACUGACAUCAGAGUGCCUAGGAUGCACGUGAUGCCGCAUGGGUUGUGAGUCCCGGCCGCACAGGUCGCAGGUUUCGUAUGCAGAAAUCAACUAGUUUUUUAUGAUUAGUUAUUUUCCUAUCUCAGUCAGAAAAGAUUGAUGUUAGUUAAUUAUAGAAAGUUUUGAUUUUUGUGAACUUUUUCCAUACGCAUGAGUCAACUAGUUUUUUGUGAUUACUUAUUUUCCUAUCCCGGUCAAAAAAGUUUGAUGUUAGUUAAUUAUUAGAGAUUUUAAUUUUUGUGAACAUUCUUUUUGAGAAUUUUUGAUGUUAUUAGAAAAGUUAGCAGUUAGGGUUCUUCAAGUUAGAAUAGGACUUGAAAUUCUACAUUGAAAAGUUGAAAAAAAAAGGUUCCCUAGUACUAUUUAUAAAUACCCUUAUUGGGGCUUCUCUUGUAAUUAUACUUGAGAUACUUGAGUUAUUGAUUAGUG